rnacentral:sRNA from 1 species
UGUUGUGGAGCGCACAUAUGCACGUGGCCAUCGAUACCAGCGGCUGUAAGAAUCAUGUGUUCACCGGAUAUGGCAUCGGUUGACGGACCAGUUACCAGCUCGGGUGUUACGCCUUUCAUGACAUUAGGGUUACCAGCCUUUCCGAUUCCGGCAAUCUUUCCAUCCUUGAUACCAACGUCAGCUUUUACUACUCCUAAAACCGGAUCAAGUAUAGUGACGUUUGUUAUCACGAGGUCAAGGCUUCCGGCGCCGGAGGUGCAUUCGUUGGCAAGUCCCAUGCCGUCACG